AUUAUACCUACAAUUCGUGAAGAAAAACAGAGAACCAGAUGGUUUAUUAAAUAUAUAGUUGGUUAAACAUGCAGUUCUUCUAAGUUCUUCAUCAUAUCAUAAUAUUUUCUGUUUAUCCUCGUAUCUUCCAUCAUUUGAUUUUUAAAUGACAACCUUGGUAUUCCCCUUCCUUUUUUUUUCCAUUAACUCUUUUUUAUGAUUAUUGUUAUUACCCAUAGCCUUUGAAAAUUAUUGUUUUUAUCGUUAUU